rnacentral:rRNA from 1 species
CCUACGGGUGGCAGCAGUGAGGAAUAUUGGUCAAUGGACGGAGGUCUGAACCAGCCAAGUAGCGUGCAGGAUUGACGGCCCUAUGGGUUGUAAACUGCUUUUGUUGGGGAGUAAAGUGGGGCACGCGUGCCUUUUUGCAUUUACCCUUCGAAUAAGGACCGGCUAAUUCCGUGCCAGCAGCCGCGGUAAUACGGAAGGUCCAGGCGUUAUCCGGAUUUAUUGGGUUUAAAGGGAGUGUAGGCGGUCUGUUAAGCGUGUUGUGAAAUUUAGGUGCUCAACAUCUACCUUGCAGCGCGAACUGGCGGACUUGAGUGCACGCAACGUAUGCGGAAUUCAUGGUGUAGCGGUGAAAUGCUUAGAUAUCAUGACGAACUCCGAUUGCGAAGGCAGCGUACGGGAGUGUUACUGACGCUUAAGCUCGAAGGUGCGGGUAUCGAACAGGAUUAGAUACCCUAGUAGUC